UAAAAGAAGAGGAGAAGAAAUAGAAUUUAUAUUAUUUUUUUAUAUAUAACAAACAAGAGAGUUAUUUAAUUUAUCAUUAUAGUAGAGCAUGGAGUACAAGAUAAUAUUGUAUAGCAUAAGACUAAAAGCUAGUGUGAAAGUGCAUGCAUGAUGCAUGCAUGUAGUGAUGGUAACCCAACCGGAACAAUAAACAAACAAGUAAUAAUGCAUGCAUACGUAAAACAUGAUAAAGAUAUAUAUAUAUAUCCAAGUACACACCAUCAGAGAGCAAUGGUGAAGUAAAGGGGUUCAUGUAUUCAGGGUGCGGAGGUUGAAGAAGUUGAAGCCCAAGGUGGUGGUGGCAUAAAGAAGGGUAUGCCGGGAAAGUUGGGGAAGCUGCUGGGUAGUGGCGGCAGAGAAACCUGUGGUGGAAAAUUUGGAAAGAAUGGUGGGAAUGAGAACGGGAAUGGGUAUGAUGGGUUCAUUAUUGGUGGUGCCGUUGUCUCCUGAAGCUGGCGAGCUGCCAUGCCAAUCUCCAUCAUUGAUAAGUAAAUAGCAAUGAAGAAUGCCAACAUCAUCAUGCAUCUCAUGGAAGCCAUUGUUGAUCACCACCAUGCACUUGAUCAGAGUACCUAGUAGCUCUCUU
rnacentral:lncRNA from 1 species